AACCAAGUUAACUACAACUUACCCAUUAAAUAUUUCAAAUAAGACUAAAUGAUGAUGUGCAUAAACAAGGAUCUGAAGUUAACCACUGACGAAGUUCCAGACGAACUAAGUAAAACAAAACGAAAAGUAGAUAUUGUGUUAUCAUUUUUAAAUUGAACUUUAUUGUUGAUUAAAACAUUGGUAAAUGCAUGUAGGUAAGUAAAAAAAUAAUAUGUAAGUUAAUUAAAAUAAAUUAAUAGAUAUUGGGUAAAUAUUUUUG